rnacentral:rRNA from 1 species
UACGUAGGGGGCUAGCGUUGUCCGGAAUCAUUGGGCGUAAAGCGCGUGUAGGCGGCCCGAUAAGUCCGCUGUGAAAGUCCAGGGCUCAACCCUGGGAUGCCGGUGGAUACUGUCGGGCUCGAGUCCGGAAGAGGCGAGUGGAAUUCCUGGUGUAGCGGUGAAUGACGCAGAUAUCAGGAGGAACACCAAUGGCGAAAGCAGCUUUCUGGGACGGUACUGACGCUGAGACGCGAAAGCGUGGGGAGCGAACAGG